rnacentral:rRNA from 1 species
UACGGGGGGGGCAAGCGUUGUUCGGAAUUACUGGGCGUAAAGGGCUCGUAGGCGGCCAACUAAGUCAGACGUGAAAUCCCUCGGCUUAACCGGGGAACUGCGUCUGAUACUGGAUGGCUUGAGUGUGGGAGAGGGAUGCGGAAUUCCAGGUGUAGCGGUGAAAUGCGUAGAUAUCUGGAGGAACACCGGUGGCGAAGGCGGCAUCCUGGACCACGACUGACGCUGAGUGAGCGAAAAGCCAGGGGGAGCAAAACGGG